UUUGGCUAAGCUGGAAGUUUUCACCACAGAAGAUCAAUUCAGAAGCUAUAGGUGAUAUCGUCUAUCUAUCCUUUCCAGGCAGUCUCUACAGGAAUUCCCAGGCAUAAUGUGAAUGCCCAAAGUCCACAAAGGAACAGAAUUAAGACCAAGAUUGACAAGAUGUUCUCUGGUAUAAAUACAGAUGAAGCAUUGGGUGGAAGUUCAAAUCUGCACGGAAGCAAGUAGAAUUCGGAUACGUCACAUCAGACAACCCCAGAGAACUCAGCUCCCCCAUAGACCUGAAUUAUUUGUAUACAGAUAAAAGAAAAUGCAAUCUGUCUUCCCUGCAUCAGAAAAAUCUACCUGCCUGUGGGUGGCUGCAGCCCCAAGGCUGAGAGCAUCUCCUUACCACAUCAGCAGCAGUUAAGCAGCAGCAGUAGACUGGCCAGCUGUGUGGCUUCCCAGGAUGGGCAAGCAAGAAAUCAUCCUGGUAACGGAACUUCUCUGGUCCACAUGCAAUAAAAAUGUCAUCGUCACCAAAAAAGUCCUGAAGGCACAUCACCUACAAGAGAAAAGCAUAGUUCUCAGCCAGGGGUCCACACAACAGCGAUCACAACACCACCUCCCCCCCCCCGCCAGACUUCUCCAUAAAGCCAUUUUCCUCUAAUGGAAUCAACAGGGGGAUUUCAAAGGCUCGGCUGUGCAUCUGUUAUCCAGUAAGGAACGAGUUAGUCUCAGGUCUGCAGGAAGGCAGAGAAGGCGACUGGGUGGGUAACUGUCACAUUUAUGACUGGAAACAUCAACAGGCUAUGAGGAUAUCACGUGACAACUCAACCACAUUCAACCGUGUGUGUGCAUGUUCUUGCUAAGUGGGUAGAUAACCAACGGGACCACAAGGUGUUCUAAGUAGGUUGUAGCCAAUGGGCUCCCACCAUUCUGAUGAUGACUGUUCUCCAAGCUCUCAGCUCAAAGAACACAGCAGACAACAAAUGAUCCAUCUUGGACAGUUUAAGCGUAAUCCUGUUGGCAAGUGAGAGAUGAAACGUGAUGAACUUUUGAUGUUCCUUCCAACACUAGGAUUCCAAGAAUAUGAAAAGAACACAGUGGUUGCUAAAGAAAUUGUCUGUCAUCGCACAGCAGAGAAGACAAGGGAAGGAGUCAUUCCAAUGUCAAGUAACAUGUACUCAUUUACCACUCAAGCUUCGAUGGAUGGAAUCAGUGGAAACCCUGAACUGUCUGACACUCCAGGGGUUUCUGCUGUGCAUCGUUUUGCCUCUUUGCUGCCCACAACAGCCCACUGGAAAAUGGCAGUAAGCUUUGUAGAUGAAAUUAAAAAUGCCAUUCCUUGUGAGAAGCUCUGACAAAAGGGUGGAGGACAAAAGAGAUUUAGAUGAAAGGCAGGUUAGGGCAAAAUUGGUAGGUUUCUAUUAUCCACACUCUUUUACUCUGUAACUAUUGAGAGGUCACUGUAAUGUAGUCCACCUAAUAGAAAAGAGUAACAGGGGUAGUUUUACCCCAUUUUUCUCUUGGAAAAUGUGUUGUGGGAAUUUUCCUUGAGGUAUUUCUGGACAUUUUGGCAUCAAGGAGUUAUAGAAAGUAGAGAAAUGUAAAACGAGUUUUGCAUAACACUCCGACCUUAUGUCUAUGAAGUGUUAAUCGUUUGAAAACUUAAUGUACUCAAAACUCAGCUUGGUCACCAGCUCUAAAAUACAAGUUAGGUUUAUGGGUAAAGAACAUGCUUUGUGCUACAUGGGACCAUGAAUAUCGUCCUCAUCUACCAAAAAACCUCUGCUCAGAUGCUGUCAGAAGCAUCGACCAUAGGGCAGAUGUAAAGAGAAAUACCAAGUUUGAGAAAGAAGAUACACUCAGCCUGUGAAUAACUCCUGUCCAAGCACCCUCUCAUCCAUAGCCUCUCUCUGGAUAUGGCUUGAUUCCCUGCAACAUCUUCAAAUGCCAGACAGCCCCAGCCCUCCUCCUCAUAGCUGUCAUCAUCCUGUCUGCCCAGAGCCCAUCCUCCUCCAGGGACCUUGGCAUUAGCUCUUGUAGAAGUCUGAAGCCCUGCCCCUUUCCCGGCACUCCAUGCUGUUUAAUCUUGUCGGUCUGCCAUUCUCUCCUAAAAUUUCAAAUUCUCUUUCCGUAGCUCAGAAAUCACCACUGGUUUAUAGUCAUUGCCUUAAGGUUUGUCUUUCGGAGCUGGUAUUCCAGAUGCCUCACAUCUGUCUCCAACUCGACCUACCAGGUCUCCAGUCGACCCAGUGUCUAUGAGUGAUAAACAGUGAUGUCUGGACAGACAUUAUACUCUAAAAUAAAU
rnacentral:lncRNA from 1 species